rnacentral:rRNA from 1 species
UACGGAGGAUCCAAGCGUUAUCCGGAAUUACUGGGCGUAAAGAGUUGCGUAGGUGGCAUAGUAAGCAGAUAGUGAAAGCGUGUGGCUCAACCAUACAUCCAUUAUCUGAACUGCUAAGCUAGAAGAUGAGAGAGGUAGAUGGAAUUCCUAGUGGAGGGGUAAUAUCCGUAGAUAUUAGGAGGAACACCGAUGGCGUAGGCAGUCUACUGGCUCAUUCUUGACACUAAGGCACGAAAGCGUGGGGAGCAAACAGG